rnacentral:lncRNA from 1 species
GUCAAAUUCAUUUCUGCAUCAAAACGUGUCCGAAAAGAGAUUUGUCUGUGUUAAAAUUAAGAUUCAUUGCUUGAAGCUCAGUUCCAAGUGAAGCAUAAUUUAAGUUCAGAUCUGAAAUUAAUACCGCUACAAUGGGAAGCAUUGCGAAUGCAAUUAUCGUGCGCCAUUUCUGUCGUGUGUGCACCACUUAUAAGCGCAUCGUCACCCACUUAUAUGCAGAACGGGCACGCAGCUUGGAAAUAAUAGAGAAACUGGAAGUCGUUUAUGGUUUGGUCAUUACACCGAAUACUCCUGGACCCAAGAUGAUAUGCCUGGAAUGCCUAGAUGAAGUUCUGAAACUACAUAAAUUGUGGGAGUUAUCUUGCAGCGUGUUGGGACAAGUUGGACCCCCACAAACGAACGUCGAAGAUGCAGCCGCCAAUGGGACCGCUGGUGGAACCGCCGAUGGAACCGCCGAUGGAACCGCCGAUGGAACCGCCGAUGGAACCGCCGAUGGAACCGCCGAUGGAACCGCCGAUGGAACCGCCGAUGGAACCGCCGAUGGAACCGCCGAUGGGUCCACCGAAGUGGUUGUCUAUGGGUCCGCCAAUGGGUUUUCCGAUGGGACCGCUGGUGGAACCACCGAUGGAGCCGCCGAUGGGUCCGCCGAAGAUAAUUAACAUCACACUGAAUGAAUCUCCAUGUGAUUGGAAAGAGUCCUAACUGUGGGUAAGUCGUAUGGUUUAACUGCAAGUUUGAACGCCGCUUAUGAUCUGUUUUGUCUUUUGCAGAAGUCUAAGUUUAUUCCUCACCCUCCUGGCUCUUUCGUCUAAGCACACAGCAAAUCUUUAAUGUAUCGAAUAAAAUUCGAAUACCAACAAAACGUGAAUGGGAACAAAUGCAAAUAUCAUAUAGUCCAUAUAUAAAUAAAUACAAAAGCCCUAAAAUGUGCCAUCUUAAAUCAGAAACAUGUGAUGGCAGCAUGCAAAUGUUGAGCCCUAGAAUAACAUGGCGUGCAUCCAUGAGAAGAAAUAUUUAAUUAUUAAAGUAAAUAGCCCAGUAAGUUCAUCCGCAUUGUUAAAUGAAGGUGACCCACAAUGUUCACGCACAAAUAAAACAGAUAAUUGUAUGUUUCAAAUCAACAGAGCUCCUCCAAACAAUCCUAUUAAAUAAACCUCUUUAUAUUUCUCCA